rnacentral:lncRNA from 10 species
UCACCUGAAGAAUUGCGACGAUGACCCCAAAGAGGCCAAUGGCGCUGCCAAAGAUCUCCACGAUGAGAAUCUUUACAAAGAGGCUGGGGUUCUGAGCAUCGGCCAGGGCAGCCCCACUGCCCACGAUGCCCACGCAGACUCCACAGAAGAGGUUAGACAGGCCUACGGUGAGGCCAGCCCCAAACAUGGAGUAGCCUGAUACCUCAGCCAUGUUGCUAAUGACAAUUGCCAUGAUGAUGCCGUAGAUGGCCACAGCCUCACAGAAGAGGAAUCCUCCCCCUGCCCUCCCUUACCAUGCCACAUCAAAGCGGAAGCCCAAAUCAAAAAUGGUGUAGCAGACUCCUGCAGCAGUGAGCGCAGGCCCAGAAGGCCACGAAGACCCCGGAGUAGAGCAGUGCUAGCCCCGUCAUGGCGGCGACGGCGGCGGGGGUCGGAACGGCGGGGCCGGAGCUACAAACGCGUCCCAGCGUCCACCGUCCGUCCCGCAGUCUGUCCGCCCGCCCCGCAGCGUCACCUAACUCGCCCACGUGAUGCGCCGGUACCACGUGACCC